AGGUUACCUCUGCACAUGUCAGUCUCUGCUAGCCAAGAGUGCCAUGCAUUAUCACUGAAAGAGGCUGUGUAUGAGGAUUUAUGUGACUAGAGGUUGUACAUAAGCAUCAGUAAUCAUGAAGGAAGCUGCUCACUGACUUGAGCAAGGACAGCAGAAUCAGACUUAUUCCCCUAGCUUCACUUUGCAGAAAAAGAGAUGGCAAAAGAAGGCUACAGGACAGAAGAGGACAUUUUCAGUGUAUAAACAAACUCAGACUACUCUGUCACUUCAACCCACUGUGGGUGGCAAGAGAAAGCAAAGCCUUGGGAGUCAGCUGCAGCCAUCUGUCUCGAAGGUGCAGCUGGUGAUGAGUUGCUGAUGUUAAUGAAAUGGGAUUGCUCAGUGCUGUUGAUUUACUACAGUUAGUGUAUCUAAUUCUGAUUCAUGCUACCAUUAUGGCUACCAUGCCUUGAAGGCAGCAGGCAGUGUUCACAGUGAUUGUUGGUAGUGAUAAUAAGACUUAGGACACAAGUGGUUCAAAAAAGGUGUGAAAAGCGGUAAAUUCAGUGCGUUUAUUUAGACUGUUUUGUGCUUGAAAUGCCA